rnacentral:rRNA from 1 species
AGAGUUUGAUCCUGGCUCAGAUUGAACGCUGGCGGCAUGCCUUACACAUGCAAGUCGAACGGCAGCAUGAUCUAGCUUGCUAGAUUGAUGGCGAGUGGCGAACGGGUGAGUAAUACAUCGGAACGUGCCCUGUAGUGGGGGAUAACUAGUCGAAAGAUUAGCUAAUACCGCAUACGACCUGAGGGUGAAAGUGGGGGACCGCAAGGCCUCAUGCUAUAGGAGCGGCCGAUGUCUGAUUAGCUAGUUGGUGGGGUAAAGGCCCACCAAGGCGACGAUCAGUAGCUGGUCUGAGAGGACGAUCAGCCACACUGGGACUGAGACACGGCCCAGACUCCUACGGGAGGCAGCAGUGGGGAAUUUUGGACAAUGGGCGAAAGCCUGAUCCAGCAAUGCCGCGUGUGUGAAGAAGGCCUUCGGGUUGUAAAGCACUUUUGUCCGGAAAGAAAUGGCUCUGGUUAAUACCUGGGGUCGAUGACGGUACCGGAAGAAUAAGGACCGGCUAACUACGUGCCAGCAGCCGCGGUAAUACGUAGGGUCCAAGCGUUAAUCGGAAUUACUGGGCAUAAAGCGUGCGCAGGCGGUUGUGCAAGACCGAUGUGAAAUCCCCGAGCUUAACUUGGGAAUUGCAUUGGUGACUGCACGGCUAGAGUGUGUCAGAGGGGGGUAGAAUUCCACGUGUAGCAGUGAAAUGCGUAGAGAUGUGGAGGAAUACCGAUGGCGAAGGCAGCCCCCUGGGAUAACACUGACGCUCAUGCACGAAAGCGUGGGGAGCAAACAGGAUUAGAUACCCUGGUAGUCCACGCCCUAAACGAUGUCAACUAGUUGUUGGGGAUUCAUUUCCUUAGUAACGUAGCUAACGCGUGAAGUUGACCGCCUGGGGAGUACGGUCGCAAGAUUAAAACUCAAAGGAAUUGACGG